rnacentral:rRNA from 1 species
CAGUAGCCACGGUAAUACGUAGGGUGCAAGCGUUAGUCGGAAUUACUGGGCGUAAAGCGUGCGCAGGCGGUUAUUCAAGACAGAUGUGAAAUCCCCGGGCUCAACCUGGGAACUGCAUUUGUGACUGCAUGACUAGAGUACGGCAGAGGGGGAUGGAAUUCCGCGUGUAGCAGUGAAAUGCGUAGAUAUGCGGAGGAACACCGAUGGCGAAGGCAAUCCCCUGGGCCUGUACUGACGCUCAUACACGAAAGCGUGGGGAGCAAACAGGAUUAGAUACCCCUGUAGUCCCUGUCUCUUAUAC